rnacentral:rRNA from 1 species
CUACAGAGGGUGCAAGCGUUAAUCGGAAUUACUGGGCGUAAAGCGCGCGUAGGCGGUUUGUUAAGUUGGAUGUGAAAGCCCCGGGCUUAACCUGGGAGGGUCAUUCAAAACUGGCAGACUCGAGUGUGGUAGAGGGUAGUGGAAUUCCUAGUGUAGCGGUGAAAUGCGUAGAGAUUAGGAGGAACACCAGUGGCGAAGGCGACUGCCUGGACCAACACUGACGCUGAGGUGCGAAAGCGUGGGUAGCGAACAGGAUUAGAUACCCCAGUAGUCC